rnacentral:rRNA from 1 species
ACGGGUGNGUAAUGUCUGGGAAACUGCCUGAUGAGGGGGAUAACUACUGGAAACGGUAGCUAAUACCGCAUAACGUCGCAAGACCAAAGAGGGGGACCUUCGGGCCUCUUGCCAUCGGAUGUGCCCAGAUGGGAUUAGCUAGUAGGUGGGGUAACGGCUCACCUAGGCGACGAUCCCUAGCUGGUCUGAGAGGAUGACCAGCCACACUGGAACUGAGACACGGUCCAGACUCCUACGGGAGGCAGCAUG